GACACCAUGAUCAAGAAGGUGGUUCACCCAGGGUGAGGCUCGGCCAUUGCACUCCGGUUGUGCUGACCCCUGCGACCAGAAAAUAUGCAG